CAAGUCGAGCGACAGAUAAGGAGCUUGCUCCUUUGACGUUAGCGGCGGACGGGUGAGUAACACGUGGGUAACCUACCUAUAAGACUGGGAUAACUUCGGGAAACCGGAGCUAAUACCGGAUAACAUUUGGAACCGCAUGGUUCUAAAGUGAAAGAUGGUUUUGCUAUCACUUAUAGAUGGACCCGCGCCGUAUUAGCUAGUUGGUAAGGUAACGGCUUACCAAGGCGACGAUACGUAGCCGACCUGAGAGGGUGAUCGGCCACACUGGAACUGAGACACGGUCCAGACUCCUACGGGAGGCAGCAGUAGGGAAUCUUCCGCAAUGGGCGAAAGCCUGACGGAGCAACGCCGCGUGAGUGAUGAAGGGUUUCGGCUCGUAAAACUCUGUUAUUAGGGAAGAACAAAUGUGUAAGUAACUGUGCACGUCUUGACGGUACCUAAUCAGAAAGCCACGGCUAACUACGUGCCAGCAGCCGCGGUAAUACGUAGGUGGCAAGCGUUAUCCGGAAUUAUUGGGCGUAAAGCGCGCGUAGGCGGUUUCUUAAGUCUGAUGUGAAAGCCCACGGCUCAACCGUGGAGGGUCAUUGGAAACUGGGAAACUUGAGUGCAGAAGAGGAAAGUGGAAUUCCAUGUGUAGCGGUGAAAUGCGCAGAGAUAUGGAGGAACACCAGUGGCGAAGGCGACUUUCUGGUCUGUAACUGACGCUGAUGUGCGAAAGCGUGGGGAUCAAACAGGAUUAGAUACCCUGGUAGUCCACGCCGUAAACGAUGAGUGCUAAGUGUUAGGGGGUUUCCGCCCCUUAGUGCUGCAGCUAACGCAUUAAGCACUCCGCCUGGGGAGUACGACCGCAAGGUUGAAACUCAAAGGAAUUGACGGGGACCCGCACAAGCGGUGGAGCAUGUGGUUUAAUUCGAAGCAACGCGAAGAACCUUACCAAAUCUUGACAUCCUUUGAAAACUCUAGAGAUAGAGCCUUCCCCUUCGGGGGACAAAGUGACAGGUGGUGCAUGGUUGUCGUCAGCUCGUGUCGUGAGAUGUUGGGUUAAGUCCCGCAACGAGCGCAACCCUUAAGCUUAGUUGCCAUCAUUAAGUUGGGCACUCUAGGUUGACUGCCGGUGACAAACCGGAGGAAGGUGGGGAUGACGUCAAAUCAUCAUGCCCCUUAUGAUUUGGGCUACACACGUGCUACAAUGGACAAUACAAAGGGCAGCUAAACCGCGAGGUCAUGCAAAUCCCAUAAAGUUGUUCUCAGUUCGGAUUGUAGUCUGCAACUCGACUACAUGAAGCUGGAAUCGCUAGUAAUCGUAGAUCAGCAUGCUACGGUGAAUACGUUCCCGGGUCUUGUACACACCGCCCGUCACACCACGAGAGUUUGUAACACCCGAAGCCGGUGGAGUAACCAUU
rnacentral:rRNA from 1 species